CUUAACCCUAGAAAAGCAAUGGAAACUACUAGACUAGAGUAUGGCAGGGGUAGAGGGAAUUUCUAGUGUAGCGGUGAAAUGCGUAGAUAUUAGAAAGAACACCAGCGGCGAAAGCGCUCUACUGGACCAUUACUGACACUCAGAGGCGAAAGCUAGGGUAGCAAAAGGGAUUAGAUACCCCUGUAGUCUUAGCCGUAAACGAUGGAUACUAGAUGUUGUGCAUAUCGUACAGUAUCGUAGCUAACGCGUUAAGUAUCCCGCCUGGGGAGUACGCUCGCAAGGGCGAAACUCAAAGGAAUUGACGGGGGCCCGCACAAGCGGUGGAGCAUGUGGUUUAAUUCGAUGCAACGCGAAGAACCUUACCAGGGCUUGACAUACUACAAAUUCUUUUGAGAAAAGGAAGUGCCUUCGGGAAUGUAGAUACAGGUGGUGCAUGGCUGUCGUCAGCUCGUGUCGUGAGAUGUUGGGUUAAGUCCCGCAACGAGCGCAACCCUUAUUUUUAGUUACUAACUCGUUAGGUUUUCUAGAAAGACUGCCGGUGACAAACCGGAGGAAGGUGAGGAUGACGUCAAGUCAGCAUGCCCCUUAUGUCCUGGGCUACACACGUGCUACAAUGGUUAAGACAAAGAGUCGCGAGCUCGCAAGAGUCAGCUAAUCUCAUAAACUUAGCCUAAGUUCAGAUUGUAGGCUGCAACUCGCCUUACGUGA
rnacentral:rRNA from 1 species